rnacentral:rRNA from 1 species
UACGGAGGGGGCUAGCGUUGUUCGGAAUCACUGGGCGUAAAGCGCACGUAGGCGGCUUUGUAAGUCAGAGGUGAAAGCCCGGGGCUCAACUCCGGAAUUGCCUUUAAGACUGCAUCGCUAGAAUUGUGGAGAGGUAAGUGGAAUUCCGAGUGUAGAGGUGAAAUUCGUAGAUAUUCGGAAGAACACCAGUGGCGAAGGCGACUUACUGGACAGAUAUUGACGCUGAGGUGCGAAAGCGUGGGGAGCAAACAGG